rnacentral:tRNA from 5 species
GGAGGGGUGCCAGAGCGGUUGAAUGGGACGGUCUCGAAAAUCGUUUCCCGAUUAUAUCGGGACGUGAGUUCGAAUCUCACCCCCUCCGCCA